rnacentral:rRNA from 1 species
GAUGAACGCUGGCGGCGUGCCUAAUACAUGCAAGUCGAGCGAACGGACGAGAAGCUUGCUUCUCUGAUGUUAGCGGAAGACGGGUGUGUAACACGUGUAUAACCUACCUAUAAGUCUGGGAUCACUUCGGGACACCGGAGCUAAUCCCGUAUAAUAUUCUGAACCGCAUGGUUCAAAAGUGAAAGACGGUCGUGCUGUCACUUAUAGAUGGAUCUGCGCUGCAUUAGCUAGUUGGUAAGGUCACGGCAUACCAAGGCAACGAUGCCUAGACGACCUGACAGGCUGAUCGGCCACACUGGAACUGAGACACGGUCCAUACGACUGCGGGAGGCAGCAGUAGGGAAUCUUCGGCAAUGGGCGAAAACCUGACGGAGCGACGCCGCGUGAGUGAUGAAGGUCUUCGGAUCGGAAAACUCUGUUAUUAGGGGAGAACAGAUGUGUAAGUAAAUGUGCACAUCGUGACGGUACUGAAUAAGAAAGCCACGGCUAACUACGUG